AACUUGAUAUGAAAAUUGAAAAAUGAUUGAAAGCAUGCUGAAAUUGUUUAAAUUCAGAAAUUGAAAGAGUACAAAAUUGGUUGAAAAAUUAAAUUAAGUAACAGGUAUGGUUGAGGGAUUAUUUAUAGUUCUAAUUAUAAUUAUUUCUUUUGAAUAGAGUUGUUAUCAGAUUCAAAGAUUAAAGAAGAUAAUUUUUCUUCACAUUUUAUUGAUGAACAGAAUAAAACCGAGCAAAGUUCACAUUGUCAAAGAGUUUCAAGUUUUAAUAUGAGUUUUUUUGGUUUUUACACCACUGAAUGUUAAUAUGGAGGUCUUUUUUGUUAAUUUGUUUUUGUAUUAAAAUAAUUGAAAAAGAUAGGUAUAAAAGAAUAGAAAUGGAUUAUUUACAAUAUUGUGAUCCGAUAAAUGUGUGAAGCAUUUUACCUUUAGUAGUUAAACAAAAUUCUUUAAUAUCGUAACUUUUUACAGGAUAAAGUUUUAGCUGAUUUAAAAAGUAGGUUUUCUAAAAUAUUAUGGCAACUUCUGCGAUAGAGUAAUUAAAAAACUUACAUGUAUUUUUGGAGUUUUAGUUUGAAAUACUCAAGCAUAAUUUGAAUUUUAAAGUUCAUUUUUCAUUGUUUUGCUAUUUGGUUUUAUUAGCUAAAUAUGUUAAUCAAUCUUUUUAUUCUUGUUUGUAGAAAUGCAAAAUGUUAUUCUCAACGAACUUGCAGAAAUAAAAGUUCUUUUAAAAGAAGUUAUAGAAAUUAAGUUUCAGGCUACUGGGGUGAAGUUGCUAGAAUCAGUGGACGAAGUGGUUACACUGAAUAAUAAACUAAAAGAUAAAACUGAGUAUACUAAUUUGCUUGAUAGUUUGAAAAAGAUUGGUGGUGGAAAGCCAAGAGAACAUGUUUUUUAUUCAUGAAAAGAUUUCGGCGACGUGGAAGAAAAUGUUGACGGCAAUGAAGAAAUAUAGUUUCUUAUGUAUAUUUUUGUGAAAUAAAAAUUAAGUAAUGUUAGUUAAAA